GUUCUCUACUGCUUUUGUAACUACGAUCAUGACUCAAGGCUGGGAGCCCGGAACUUGGUACGACCACGGCGCCGUCGUUCAGUACGAGGGCCACAAGUACAAGAUCAUCCAGCCCCACAACUCGCAGUCCGAUUGGACACCUCCCGUCACCCCCGCCCUCUGGGGCCGCAUCCCCGACGACGAAUGCGGGGAGCACCGCUACGAGCACCAGGGCCAACAGUACCAGCCCCAGCCCCAGCAGCCCAUUCCGCCGCCCGGCUACAACCCCGGCCAGAGCAGCGGUGGCGAGAAGCACGAGACCGUCAUUGUCCACGAGGAGGAGCGCAAGCACGGAUGGGACGCUCUCACCGAUGAGCGCAAGAAGCAGAUCGAGAUCGGUGGUGGACUUCUCGCCGGUGCUCUCGCGCUCGGCGCUGGGGUCUUCGCGUGGAACGAGCACAAGAAGAGCGAGGAGGAGAAAAAGAGGCAUGUUUGGGACGUCACAAACUGGCUGCACGAGAGCGAAAAGCGCACCGCCGACUUCUGGGCUGGGCGCGCUGCUGGUCCGGUAGCUUGGGUCCUGGUCGAUGGCAAGAACAUCCCCGCCGAACACGCCAUCGUCGGCGGUGAAGAGCACGGCCAGCCGCAUUACAUCUGCCGCGGGUGGCACGAGGGUAGUCUCCAGAUUGGGAAGGCGUGCUCCAUCUUCCAAAAGGGCGGCGUCGUUGGGUACGGACACAAGGAGUAUCAUCUCUCCAAAUACGAGGUCCUCGUAGGUGACAAGCGUGCCGUGCGCUGGAUCGACUUCCACGGCCGCGUGGAGCUUGAUAAGCUCCCGGCGCGCCCUGUCGAGGGUGGCCGCGAGGGCGACGGCACGCCGUUGUUCAUCGCGCAAGCGUCCCACAGCGGUGCCAUCGUCCCCGGCAAGUGCGGCCCCAAGCUCCCUGGCGCGUUCGUACCCUACGGCAACGACGAGAAGGAGCACAAGGACUUCCGCAUCCUCUGCUACGCUUGAGCGGCGCGCUCAGCGACGCUAGAC
rnacentral:misc_RNA from 1 species